rnacentral:rRNA from 1 species
AUGAACGCUGGCGGCGUGCCUAAUACAUGCAAGUCGAGCGAACAGAUGAGGAGCUUGUUCCUCUGACGUUAGCGGCGGACGGGUGAGUAACACGUGGAUAACCUACCUAUAAGACUGGGAUAACUUCGGGAAACCGGAGCUAAUACCGGAUAAUAUAUUGAACCGCAUGGUUCAAUAGUGAAAGACGGUUUUGCUGUCACUUAUAGAUGGAUCCGCGCCGCAUUAGCUAGUUGGUAAGGUAACGGCUUACCAAGGCAACGAUGCGUAGCCGACCUGAGAGGGUGAUCGGCCACACUGGAACUGAGACACGGUCCAGACUCCUACGGGAGGCAGCAGUAGGGAAUCUUCCGCAAUGGGCGAAAGCUUGACGGAGCAACGCCGCGUGAGUGAUGAAGGUCUUCGGAUCGUAAAACUCUGUUAUUAGGGAAGAACAAAUGUGUAAGUAACUAUGCACGUCUUGACGGUACCUAAUCAGAAAGCCACGGCUAACUACGUG